AUGAAGCAUUCAUGGAGCAAGCAUUUCACGGUCAUACACUCAUCAACUCCACAUACAAGAGUACCACCCAUUAAUAGCCUCUGUUCCCCGGUGAUGAUGACCAAGUACAUGAGGAACAAUGUGCAAGGACUUGUGCUACUUUCUUUUCUUCUUGUGGUGUGUUUGACUUGUCUUGGAGGCACAUAUGGCAAAAUCAUAAAUGACAAGCGGAGCAACAUGAUGAGGAAAGUAAGCCAUGUAACGAGACCCCCUUGUUAUAAAGAUGGACACCAACUCCCAGGACGGGAAUUUUGCUGUAAAAUAGAUAACUUGUGCUGGCCAAAUCUCGGAGAAUGCUUCAUCAACUGUCCAUGCAAGAUUAAUUGCACACCAGCAGCAGCAGCAACGCAAUAG
rnacentral:rRNA from 1 species